rnacentral:rRNA from 1 species
GGGGAAUAUUGGGCAAUGGGCGCAAGCCUGACCCAGCCAUGCCGCGUGAGUGAUGAAGGCCUUCGGGUCGUAAAGCUCUGUGGGGAGGGAAGAACGUCCAUCUGGUUAAUACCCGGGUGGAGUGACGGUACCUCCUUAGCAAGCACCGGCUAACUCCGUGCCAGCAGCCGCGGUAAUACGGAGGGUGCAAACGUUGCUCGGAAUCAUUGGGCGUAAAGCGCACGUAGGCGGCGCGAAAAGUCAGGUGUGAAAGCCCUCGGCUUAACCGAGGAAGUGCACUUGAAACUUUCGGGCUUGAGUACAGAAGAGGGUCUCGGAAUUCCCGGUGUAGAGGUGAAAUUCGUAGAUAUCGGGAGGAACACCAGAGGCGAAGGCGGAGACCUGGGCUGAUACUGACGCUGAGGUGCGAAAGCGUGGGGAGCAAAC